rnacentral:lncRNA from 1 species
AUCCCUUUGAUCAAGUGCAUGCAUGGGUUCCGUGUAACCAAAAAAAUACAAUCAUAACACCAAACCCAUGCAUGCACGAGUAGGAACAACUCUAUAAAUACACCACGUGGUCUUUCCACAGACAGAUCAAUAUAGAUCAUGGUACUUGAUUAGUUAUACCUAUCGGAGUAUCGAGGUCGUCGAAGACCUACCAUGUCGUCGUCACAAAACUCUAAGUCGAAGAGUAGGAGCAAGUCGAACAAAGGAAGAGCUCUGUUUCUCGAAGAACGUGAAUUGGCCUCCAUAGCCUAAGCAAGAAAAUCAAACUCCACAUCACGUCGGAAAUUUCGAUCAAUUCAUCAACUCAACAUCCGAUCCAGUCAUCAUUGCUUUAGUACCAACAAUCUACGAGCACCAUCCAAAACAAACACUAAAUGACGAGGAUGAACGGAGAUGGCUUCUGGAUGGAACGACGGAGGCGGCGAUGCUUUCACGGUUAGAACGAAAAACCUAAAAUAGCUUGGACGUGAGAGAGAGGAGUGAAAUGGGGAAUGAAAUUUAAUUUUGUCACAAUAAUAGAUGGAAAAGAAAAGAUAGAGUGAGGUGUACCUGAUCGAUUGGGUACGGGACCGGAGAAUUAUCUCACCCAUAAAGUCGUAGUGGAAAUAUACAUUGCCGUCGUCCUCUUAAUUUAUUCCGAACGAAAAACCUAAAAUCGCUUGGACGUAAGAGAGAGGAAUGAAAUGGGAAAUGAAAUGAAAUUUUGUCAUAAUAAUUGAUGGAAUGGAAGAGAUAGAGCGAGGUGUACGAGAUCGGAGAAUCUCACCCCUAAAAUAGUAGUAUAGGAAUAUACACCGCCGCUCCCUCUAUUCCGUG